CAUUAGAACCAUUAGACAUGCCCUAAUCUAUGGUAGGAUUGGGAAAAGCAACCAUGCAAAGUAGUGGGGCCCACAGAGUAAAUAGUAGAUUUCUAGGCAUUCUGCCAUUGCAACCGGCUAGCCGGUUGGCAGGGGCCUAUCCCACCUGUUGUCUGCUGUGGGCUUCCCUGCUAACCUGUCUUCAGCCUAUGAUGUCCCAUCUUAUAUGGAACCUUCCCCACACCAAAAAUCAAACAUUUCCUUGCUUUUCCAUCACUUCCACUUGUCCCACCAUCUUCAUCAUUAUCCUUUAGCUUCUAGCUAUAAUUCACUAUCAACACCCUUAGAACUAAGGGAGUUCUGAAUUUAGGAUGUUACAAUUUCUCCCUUCUUCAGAAAAAUUUUGUCCUCGAAAUGUGUGAGGAGGUUGUCUGAACUUAGUUUUAAAUCUCCCAAGCCCUAUUAUUUAUUUAUUUAUUUAUUUUGUACAUGUCUGUCAUCCACAAUUUGUUCAUUAUAUCUUACUUCCCAUGGGUCAUCCUUUCGAAGUCAUUGCCUUAUGAAAUCCUCAACCAUAUGGACCUUUAAAUACGGUGUAGAUUCAAGGUUGCAUAUGUUAAUCCACUUACUUCCAUGUACCAUAACAUAUGGGAUCCAAUCUAUGGUUUCUUUAUUUCAUCGAUUCCUACUUUCCAUGUUAUUCCAGAUACAAAUGUUCGUCCCAUGGAAAAUUGUAAUAUCAUCAGACUUUGCAUCCCAUUCCUUCUAUAUUAAACUUUCCAUAUUUCCUAUAGCACAAUAAUGAACUUCGAUUACUCCUUAUUUGAUUCUAACAAAUCCGAGUUAAUUAAAUCUGAUGUCACUAUUUAGUUGUCCCAUUGUCACCUUUUCUCCUUUUCUCCUUUUCUUAACUUCUAAUGAUUUCAUAUUAAUUCCCACAAGUUAGUAUACUCUUCUGGUUCUGACUUCUUUUCCAUCUCAUUAUCUCUUGACAAAUCUAUUGCUGAAAUAUGAUAUUGUAAUUGUACAAAGCAGACACUUUGUAUUCAGAUCUUUCCCUUAAUCAAGCUGCCCCAAGUUUGUCCCUUAUAUUCUGAUAGACAGCAAUCACACAUUUUUUUUCCCCACUAUUUCCCAUGAUUCGAUCUGAUCACACCUUCUCCUUUUUGCUUCCUUAUUUGAAUCUUGAUCUUUUGAUUCGUAACUUCUAAUUUCAUAUCUACUGUCUACCUUUUUAUAAUAUCAUACACAGGUAUUGGAUUUCCAUAGAUUAUGUUGGGGUUACUCUCUCUCUCUCUCUUAUGUCAUAUUUUUCUUAUUUCUUGCAUGUCUUGAUUCCAUCCAUGAUCCGUCAAUCGAUUUUGCACAUGAAGUCAGUAUUCCAUAUACCUUAAACUAAUUUACCAUUCCAGAUCUAAUACCUUCCUAUUAAAUGCAUCACUUUCCAUUUCUUAGUUGAGUCCAUGGGUGUUUGCACCUAUAUGUGUUCAGAAACUCCAAUUAGAGUCCCCUAACCAUGCCCUAAACCAUGUAUAUUCCUAGCAGGAAGUUCUAAGUUGUCAGAGCAUCAUUUGGCCAAACCAGCGGGAGAGCAUCCACGACCGGCAGGCUGGUUCGCCUAUUGUUACGGUCCUUAAACAGUAACCGAGAGCGUUUUAACUCAUUCUAUAACUCUCAUUUCUCACUCCACAAGCACCGGCCGGCCACCAUACUCAAGUCUAAGCUCCUUCCAUCCAUUUUCUACAAACUUCUUCACUCAAUCUCACUUCAGGACUCAUGUUUACAGAUCGAAUGACCCGUAGCAAAGUAGCCAUAAUUCCCAUUGGGCAAAUGGCUACAGAUGAGAGCUAUGAUAUGAUCUGGUUUCGAACUCCUACUGAUCAAGCUAAUUAGACUCAUUUCAUGUCCAGACCUCUGAUCGUAGAGUGACCUAUCAUCACUCAUGAUCUUCGAGCAUUCAAAGUAAAGGAGAGGUUCGAGGCCUUGGGUUGGGAGGCUAUCUUGAAACUGGAGGAAGAUGUUCACCCUAGGUUAGUUAGGACAUUCUACUGCAAUCUAACCGACAAACACUUGAGCAAUGACGAAUACAAGAUUGCUAGCUGAGUAGGUGGUAGGGACAUCUCCCUAACUACUGCUGAAUUUGGAAGUAUCAUCGGGAUAUCCAUUGAGAGAAAUCAGACCUAUUGCCCUCCUAGAACUACUUCCCGAGGAUUCUUCAAGGAUACAGAGAUAGGACUGCUGAAGGCCGUAGUCACAGAGGGUGGUGAGGCCAACUGGGCCCGGAUAGCAAAUUGGAAGCCUUCCCCUAAGGUGUUGUGCAGGAUCGUACAGUACAACAUCCUUCCGAUUAUCAGCCAUUUCAGCGAGGUGUCUUUGAUACAGGCUUACGCAGCCUUUUGCAUCUAUUUAGGGGAGCGAAUUAGUUUGCCCUAUUUGAUGUUGAGGCAUAUGGUACACUGAGCUUAUCACCUUGCUGAUGGUCAUCUAUUCUAUAGCAGGAUUCUGACCAAGCUGUUCAAGCACAUGGGACUCUGUUUAGUAGGUGAAAAGAAGAGAGAUUCCCAUGCUAUCCCUUUUGAUAGGGCCAUUUUGGAGAAGAUGCAACUCCAUGAGUAUGCAGGCAGUGAUGAGGAUGAGACACUUGCAACUAAGGAGGAGUCAGAGAGUGAGGAGGACCGAGAGCAUGAUGAGCUGCAUAGGAGUGAAGAUGAGCAGCAUGAGGAAGAAAUACAACAUCAAGAAGAAGAGAUACACAUGGAGGAGAUCCAUGAGGAGUAGGAGCAAGAGAUACUACAGAGAGUUGAGGGAGAGGUACCACUCAGGGAUGAGGAGUAGCAGGAGGAUUCCCUGAGAGACUUCCAUUUCAAUGAUGUGGACAUGGGUCUCAAUGGGUUUACCCUAGAUGAGAUUGAGAGCCUAGAGGCACAGCUUCCCCGUGUUCUAGAGGACAGCAGUCAUGGCACCAUUCCUACUGAGGUACUGCAGACCACACAGACUACUCACCUCCCUUGUCAGACUCCAUUUGCGACUGCCCUAGAGUCUGCCCAGCCUUCUGCUCAGAUCAGAGGGAAUUCUCAUUCCUUAUUGUUUAAUAUUCUAUAUAAACUCUAACUUGAUAUCUGGUUCUUUAUCUUACUUGUUCCGUACUUUUAUGGCGCAGAUACCCCAACUCUACAGACUGUGAUGGACUCCAUGGAGAAGGGCUUCACUCAGAUUGCCCCAGUCUAGGUAUGCUGACAUCUUGAAUCGACACUCUGAGCUCUAGGGUGGAGAUAGUAGAAGUUGCUCUAGAUGGAUAGGCGGAGUGUAUAAACAUUCCACCAAACUAUAGGCCUCCUCGCUAUCGGUCUCUCGUACAGCAGCAAUGAGACGUAGUUUCUUCUAGUCGUCAGUAGCAGUUCCAGUAGUAGAGCUUGAUUCACUAUUUCCAGCCUUUUGUUGUUUUGUUAACAAACUUGGAUCAAUGUUCUAAAAUAGUUUGGAUUGUACCUAUCACUUUUUUUUUUUUAACAGUUCGGAUGUGUAUUCUCCCCCUUUUUGUACUUGCAGGGUGUCUUUCUUUUUCUUUCUUUCGUCUAGGUUUCUAUUUAUGUUCUUACUUGUCUUGUGGUCACACAAUGUAAAUCUUGCUUAUAUAAUAUAAUAGUUCUUUCUGGUUUC